GCGACCCCAGGUCAGGCGGGACUACCCGCUGAGUUUAAGCAUAUCAAUAAGCGGAGGAAAAGAAACUUACGAGGAUUCCCCUAGUAACGGCGAGCGAACCGGGAACAGCCCAGCUUGAAAAUCGGGCGG
rnacentral:rRNA from 1 species